GCUAGGCGUUGUGGUGCAUGCCUGUAGUCCCAGCUACCUGGGAGGCUGAGGUGGGAGGAUCACUUGAGCCCAGGAGUUCUGGACUGUAGUGUGCUAUGCCAGUCGGGUGUCCUCACUAAGUUUGGCAUCCAUAUGGUGACCUCCUGGGAGUGAAGGACCACCAGGUUGCCUAAAGAAGUGGCCCAGUCCAUAAGCAGAACAGGUCAAAACUGCCUUACUAAUCAGUAGUGGGAUCGUGCCUGUGAAUAGCCACUACACUCCAGCCUGGGCAACAUAGUGAGACCCCGUCUCU
rnacentral:SRP_RNA from 1 species